UCUUUCAGAUUCAGCUCCUGCAUCAAGCUGAAUAAAUGGCCUAAGAGGCCAAGUGACCUGCUGCACGGAAGUUUCUACCUCACACAAGCAGAAGUAUUCAUUCUGUGCUAAGGAUAUAGUUGCUUUUUUCGCCAGUAUCACAGUGUAAGAAAGAGAGUAACAGUCAAAUUAUGAAAUUACAAUAUUCUUAUGUAACAACAGCACCAAAACCAAUAAUAAAUUUGCAAUCAUGAUUUGAAUCACAUAUACAACAAAAACCCACCCCAAUACUCGAACGUUGGUGAUCGGUGGUGAUCGCCAGAUCACCAUUACCAAAUCAAAGAACUGCCAUUUUGGACAUUGAUAAGAGUGAUGAUCGAUGGAUCAAUGGCAUCAAUGGUGAUCGAUCUCUCGGGAACUCCUCGGGAAUUUCUUGUGCAGCACGUAAUACUGAACAACACACAUAUCACACAGCUCUCGUAUGCUGAGUGCCAUUAAACUACAAGAACAAAAGCAGAAUUAACUUUGAACUUUGAUCAAAGAUAAUGCAGUGUUUGUAUAUUUUAAACUGGAUUGAUAGCUCAGUCGGUAUGGUCGGUAUAGCGACAGGCUACAUUCUGCACGACUGUGGGACCACGACGAUCACGACGAUGGUGAUGAGUGAUGACCGUGAUGACACUCAAGUUUUAAUCAAUGAUAGUAGUGAAACAAAUGACGUAACGAGUGUUUGUUGUCAUAAAUUUAAAAUGGAACUCAGAUCAGCACAAAAAAUUAUUGAACUGCUACAAGAAGAGAUAAACACGCCCAAUCGUACCCGCCACAAGAGAUAAUGUCCAACAUCAAGACUGAGCCCGAUGACAGCAAACUGGACCUACAGAUAGCCCUCAAGAAGGCACGAAGAUUGAAGCUGCAGGAGGCUGUUACAGAAUCAAAUAACAGUGUAGAAAAGUGGCAGAGUCAGUACUGGAGAGAAACUCAGAAGGAAACACAGAAGAUGGUUCCAUUGUGCUGAAUGCUACAGCAGAAUUCUGCCGUACGUUGUGUGACAUCCCCAUUUAUGGUCUGGCUGGCAACAGGGAUGAGGAAGCUCAGGAACUACUUGACUUUGAGAUGGAAAUGAUUCAAGAGAAGAAACGUCAGGAAGAAGAAGGCAAACAUGGAGCUUGGAAUGAAGUUGAGAUUGAGAUGAUGAAAACUUUGGGCGUCACGAGCGCUACAAACCAAAUGUUAAACUCGACUACAUAGAUGAUGAUGGACACAUACUUAAUGCAAAGGAGGC